rnacentral:tRNA from 1 species
GCCCGGGUGGCGGAAUAGGUAGACGCAAGGGACUUAAAAUCCCUCGGGAAGAAAUUCCUGUGCCGGUUCGAUUCCGGCCCCGGGCA